rnacentral:sRNA from 1 species
UGUUAAGAGCACGACUGCUCUUCCAGAGGACCCAGGUUGAAUCCCCAACACCCACAUGGCAGCUCACAGUUGUCUGCGACUCCAGAUCCAGACAUUCUGACACCUCACAGACAUGGGUACUGGUAAAAUUCUAAAUGCACAUAAAGAAAAAAAUUCAAAAAAACAAUAUACAAUUCUACACACAUACACACACAAACACACACCAAAGCUUUGAAUAACAUACUCCUUACAUGUCCUUCCCUUUCUAUUGAUUUUUUUUUUUUUUUGAGUGAGUGACUGGAUGAGCUGUGCAUCUGUUGGACUCUGCUGGCGCUUCCUCAUUGUGACACUGUUUAUCAGGACCCUGCCUUCCUAUUUCUGUGACUUGACCUUCAGAUCCAGGGAAGAAGACACUUUCCACUUUCUUCCUGGUCAGACCUCCUGGGAUGUCCAACAUUUCACCCUGCUGUAAGUUAUAUUACUAAUAGAAUUUUGGCAUGCAGACUAUCACAUCUUAGUGAAUAACUUUUUAAAGAGUUUUUGAAUGUCAGAGGGCUAGUGACAGAAUAGGAGGUUGAAACGUUUGGUUCUGGUUUCUUUGUAAAGACAUAAUUUCUUAAGCUCUGAAAGAAUCCUGAAAAUUACACUAAAAUAUGCUUUGAUUUCUAAGGGAAAUUGUAAUUUGAUUAUAUUUAGGACAGGAAGAAUGGUCACACAUACUGAUAUCACCCAUCCUGACAGACUAGGCUGCUUCUUCCUACUCAUUAAACCCUCCUCUGCCCACUCCUCACCUUCACUCCUUCCUUGCUCUGACUUCUCUGUGCUCUAUACCAGCGUACAUGCAAGGAACUGUGUACGUUUGACCUACUGGGUAGAAUUUGGUUUUGGGUGUCACUGCU